GACGAACGCUGGCGGCGUGCCUAAUACAUGCAAGUAGAACGCUGAAGGAGGAGCUUGCUUCUCUGGAUGAGUCGCGCACGUGUGAGUAACGCGUAGGUAACCUUCCUGGUAGCGGGGGAUAACUAUUGGAAACGAUAGCUAAUACCGCAUAAGAGUAGAUGUUGCAUGACAUUUGUUUGAAAGGUCCCAUUCCAUCACUACCAGAUGGAACUGCGUUGUAUUAGCUAGUGGGUGGGGUAAAGGCUCACCACGGCGACGCUACAUAGCCGACCUGAAAGGAGAAUGACCAACACUGGAAUGGAGACAGGCCCAAGACUCCUAGGGAGGGAACAGGAGGGGAUCAUUGGAAAUAGGCGGAAGUCCUAACGAGCAACGCCGCGGGGGUGAAGGAGGGUCUUGGGUUGUAAAAACCUGUUGUAAGGGAAGAACGGGUGGGAGGUUGGAAAGUUCACGCUGUGACGGUAUCUUAACAGUAAGGGACGGCUAACUACGUG
rnacentral:rRNA from 1 species